GUCUAUGGCCAUACCACCCUGAACGCGCCCGAUCUUGUCUAAUAUCAGAAGAUAAGCAGGGUCAGGCCCGGCUAGUACUUGGAAUGCAGAAAUAGUCU
rnacentral:rRNA from 1 species